UACGUAGGGUGCAAGCGUUGUCCGGAAUUAUUGGGCGUAAAGAGCUCGUAGGCGGCUUGUCGCGUCGAAUGUGAAAACUCGGGGCUUAACCCCGAGCCUGCAGUGGAUACGGGCAGACUAGAGGUAGGUAGGGGAGAAUGGAAUUCCCGGUGUAGCGGUGAAAUGCGCAGAUAUCGGGAGGAACACCGGUGGCGAAGGCGGUUCUCUGGGCCUUACCUGACGCUGAGGAGCGAAAGCGUGGGGAGCGAACAGG
rnacentral:rRNA from 1 species